UUUCUUCUAUUCUUCUCUCUAUACGUUGGUGUUCUAACCAAUAAUCACCGAUGCUAUAUUCUGUCCGAUCGAUUCAGGAACCAACUAACGAAUGCCAAAGCGCUGUCUAAACAAGACCAUACUUUGUGAAUUUCGUUAAGAUUCUGAAACGAACGCCAAAGUGUUACUUUGUGAAUUUCGUUAAGGUUCUAAUCUCGUGAACAUCGUUAGGUUUGAUGUGGUUUUACACUAAUACGUAUUCCACUCUGUCAAACUAUAUGUUUAACUACCAGAGAAGUCCGCACUCUACACUUACAAUCAAACAAAAUAACUAAUCAUCAGAAGAUUCAGAACUACCCAGUAGAUGCUUAGUUAUCAGAAGGCAUAAAAUCAGGAGGCUUGUUUAAUCAAAGACUAUAUGCUAACAAGGGAUUAAGUUUUGGUUAUCUUAAAUCACUGGCAAGUGGGGUAAUGUGCACAUUACUAAUUUCUCACGGUUAGGUUAACAAACCUAACAGUGAUAAUCAUCACUACUUGGGUGAAAGGACCCAAUAGUGGUAUGACCAUCGUCACAAGGGUGUGACAUGGCGCCAAAUAAAAAUAAGAUAGUAGCUAUUGUAAUCGCUCUUAUGCUGUAAUUUAUAACUAUGUGUCAUUUUGUACAAAAAUGAAUGAACUCACCAGUAUUUCCUGCUGACCAAACCUUUUUAAAACGCGUUUCAGGUAAAUGACAGUAGAUUGGAAUAAGAGUGAUGAUACGGCACCAAAAAGGCUUAAAGAAUUUACUUAUUUUAUCAAUUGAAUUAAAUUAAGAAAACAUGGUUUCAUAUAUUCGGGUUUAUCCCUCAUUAAAGCUACCUUUGUAAAACAUGGGUUUUAUCCCAUCUAUUUAAUAAAUAAAAUCCGAUGUU
rnacentral:lncRNA from 1 species